ensembl:lncRNA NR2F1-AS1 NR2F1 antisense RNA 1
CAAGGAAACACUGACUUGAAAACUCUCCCCCAUGGUUUUGUCUGAACUGGCUGCCAUUCUGCAGCACACACCAGAUCCAAUUGCUGGAGUCGGGAACCCGAGAGGUGAGCAAGAGCAAGCACUUAGCUGAGUGAGUCAGGCGGGCCUGCGUGAAAGGAUGUAGAUACACUGCCUCUAGGACUGGGACAGAUAGCCACUGAGUACCUGCUUCAAAUCACCCUGCACGUUUUCUCUUUGGAAAGAUAAGCACUGGAGAACCAUCUCGUUACCU